rnacentral:tRNA from 1 species
UAUUCUGUUAAAAAAGAUUUUCAUUCUUUUUAUUUAUUGUAUAACAGAAUUU